AACACGUGGGUAACCUGCCCAUAAGACUGGGAUAACUCCGGGAAACCGGGGCUAAUACCGGAUAACAUUUUGAACCGCAUGGUUCGAAAUUGAAAGGCGGCUUCGGCUGUCACUUAUGGAUGGACCCGCGUCGCAUUAGCUAGUUGGUGAGGUAACGGCUCACCAAGGCAACGAUGCGUAGCCGACCUGAGAGGGUGAUCGGCCACACUGGGACUGAGACACGGCCCAGACUCCUACGGGAGGCAGCAGUAGGGAAUCUUCCGCAAUGGACGAAAGUCUGACGGAGCAACGCCGCGUGAGUGAUGAAGGCUUUCGGGUCGUAAAACUCUGUUGUUAGGGAAGAACAAGUGCUAGUUGAAUAAGCUGGCACCUUGACGGUACCUAACCAGAAAGCCACGGCUAACUACGUGCCAGCAGCCGCGGUAAUACGUAGGUGGCAAGCGUUAUCCGGAAUUAUUGGGCGUAAAGCGCGCGCAGGUGGUUUCUUAAGUCUGAUGUGAAAGCCCACGGCUCAACCGUGGAGGGUCAUUGGAAACUGGGAGACUUGAGUGCAGAAGAGGAAAGUGGAAUUCCAUGUGUAGCGGUGAAAUGCGUAGAGAUAUGGAGGAACACCAGUGGCGAAGGCG
rnacentral:rRNA from 1 species